UAGGGAAUCUUCGGCAAUGGGGGCAACCCUGACCGAGCAACGCCGCGUGAGUGAAGAAGGUUUUCGGAUCGCAAAGCUCUGUUGUAAGAGAAGAACGUGUGUGAGAGUGGAAAGUUCACACAGUGACGGUAACUUACCAGAAAGGGACGGCUAACUACGUGCCAG
rnacentral:rRNA from 1 species